rnacentral:rRNA from 1 species
GUAGGUGGCAAGCGUUGUCCGGAAUUAUUGGGCGUAAAGCGCGCGCAGGCGGUUCUUUAAGUCUGAUGUGAAGGCCCACGGCUCAACCGUGGAGGGUCAUUGGAAACUGGAGAACUUGAGUACAGAAGAGGAAAGCGGAAUUCCACGUGUAGCGGUGAAAUGCGUAGAGAUGUGGAGGAACACCAGUGGCGAAGGCGGCUUUCUGGUCUGUAACUGACGCUGAGGCGCGAAAGCGUGGGGAGCAAACAGGAUUAGAUACCCUGGUAGUCCACGCCGUAAACGAUGAGUGCUAAGUGUUAGGGGGGUUUCCGCCCCCCUUAGUGCUGCAGCUAACGCAUUAAGCACUCCGCCUGGGAGUACGGCCGCAAGGCUG